rnacentral:rRNA from 1 species
UACGUAGGUGACCAGCGUUGUCCGGAUUUACUGGGCGUAAAGAGCGCGCAGGCGGUCGUUCAAGUCGAGUGUGAAAGCCCCCGGCUCAACUGGGGAGGGUCACUUGAUACUGAUCGACUCGAAGGCAGGAGAGGGAAGCGGAAUUCCCGGUGUAGUGGUGAAAUGCGUAGAUAUCGUAAGGAAGACCAGUGGCGAAGGCGGGUCUCUGGGCAGUAACUGACACUGAGGAGCGAAAGCGUGGGGAGCGAACAGG